rnacentral:rRNA from 1 species
UACGUAGGGGGCAAGCGUUGUCCGGAAUCAUUGGGCGUAAAGCGCGCGUAGGCGGCCCGGUAAGUCCGCUGUGAAAGUCGAGGGCUCAACCCUCGAAUGCCGGGUGGAUACUGUCGGGCUUGAGUACGGGAGAGGCGAGUGGAAUUCCCGGUGUAGCGGUGAAAUGCGCAGAUAUCAGGAGGAACACCGGUGGCGAAGGCGGGUCUCUGGGCCGAUACUGACGCUGGAGGAGCGAAAGCGUGGGAGCAAACGG